rnacentral:tRNA from 1 species
UGGGGUGUAGCUCAGUGAUAGAGCACUUGCCUAGUAUGCACAAGGCCCUAGGUUCAAUCUCUAGUAACACAC